rfam:Pteropus alecto contig61170, whole genome shotgun sequence.
AGAAAGAUAAAAAGUUUCCUGAACGAGCCUGAUCCCAUCUGAUCUUGGAAGCUAAGCAGGGUCAGGCCUGGUUAGUACUUGAAUGGGAGACCACCUAGGAAGACCAGGUGCUGUAGGUG